rnacentral:rRNA from 1 species
UACGGAGGGUGCAAGCGUUAUCCGGAUUCACUGGGUUUAAAGGGUGCGUAGGAGGACAGGUAAGUCAGUGGUGAAAUCUUCGAGCUUAACUCGGAAACUGCCGUUGAUACUAUCUGUCUUGAAUAUUGUGGAGGUGAGCGGAACAUGUCAUGUAGCGGUGAAAUGCUUAGAUAUGACAUAGAACACCAAUUGCGAAGGCAGCUCGCUACACAUAUAUUGACUCUGAGGCACGAAAGCGUGGGGAUCAAACAGG